rnacentral:rRNA from 1 species
GACAGAGGAUGCAAGCGUUAUCCGGAAUGAUUGGGCGUAAAGAGCUCGUAGGUGGCGGGUCACGUCGGGUGUGAAAGCCCGGGGCUUAACCCCGGGUCUGCAUUCGAUACGGGCUUGCUAGGGUCCGGCAGGGGAGACUGGAAUUCCUGGUGUAGCGGUGAAAUGCGCAGAUAUCAGGAGGAACACCGGUGGCGAAGGCGGGUCUCUGGGCCGGUACCGACGCUGGAGGAGCGAAAGCGUGGGGAGCGAACAGG